rnacentral:rRNA from 1 species
UACGUAGGGCGCAAGCGUUAUCCGGAAUUAUUGGGCGUAAAGAGCUCGUAGGCGGUUUGUCGCGUCUGCUGUGAAAGACCGGGGCUCAACUCCGGUUCUGCAGUGGGUACGGGCAGACUAGAGUGAUGUAGGGGAGACUGGAAUUCCUGGUGUAGCGGUGAAAUGCGCAGAUAUCAGGAGGAACACCAGUGGCGAAAGCGCGAGACUGGGCUGUAACUGACGCUGAGGAACGAAAGCCAGGGUAGCAAAAGGG